CAAAAAUCAGAAAUAAAAUUGGGAAAGAUAGAGAGAAAAACUCCAAAAAUAUACUUCUGCUCAAUCUUCUUUCCAUGUUCUUUCAAUCUUCUUCCACCUAAAGACACAUUUCUAACCGAUCAAACUAUUCCGAGUGAGGUAGUAUACAAGCGAAAGAAAGUCAGUUUCGAUGAGGAUCUUGGUGAUGUUCAUUCGACAUGUCUGGUAAAGACCAGUUAACAUUCCUCUCGUCUAUCCCAUGAUUGUUGAUGUAAAACCUAAUGGUUCUGUCAUAGAAAAUACAACCUUUACUUCUUCAUUACGUAGAACUGCUCCAGCUCCUGCUAUUCCCGGGUUAUUUCUUGAAGCCCCAUCACAGUUGAGUUUAGGUAUCCCAGUUGGUGGCGGAAUCCAUCCUACAGAAACAGUAUAAUGAUAAGUUUAGUGGUUGUUGUUGCGCCUUGUUGGAGAGAGACCUGGAGCUAAUGGUGGUUGAUAUAGUUGUGCCCAUCGGUACUCAGCUGUUUCUUUAAUGAUAAGUAGCCUGGUGGUUUGGAGCGAGGAGGCAGAGGGUGGAGAAGAUUCUCAACAAUAGUGAGAUGAGAGAUAACAAGAGGCAUUGAGGGGUAUUGAGUUUGUAAAAAAGAUUUAACUUGGUUCCAAAUCAGUUGAGCUUGAGGGCAUAAGGAUAACAUGUGACAUAUGGGUUCUGGGGAUUCAUUGCACAAAGGGCACAAGGGGGUGUCGAUGAUUUGUCGAUGGUGAAGUAAUGCUCUAGUCGGAAGGCCAUUGUUUAGGGUUUUCCAUUUAAAA